UGGGGAAUCUUGGGCAAUGGGCGCAAGCCUGACCCAGCGAUGCCGCGUGCAGGAGGAAGCCCCUCGGGGUGUAAACUGCUGUCAGGGGUUAGCAAGCGAAGGGAGUUAACAGCUCCAGGCGUUGAGCAGCCCCAGAGGAAGCCUCGACUAACUCUGUGCCAGCAGUCGCAGUAAGACAGAGGAGGCAAGCGUUGUUCGGAAUCACUGGGCUUAAAGCGCGUGUAGGCGGCUUAGAAAGUGUCGUGUGAAAUCCCGCGGCUCAACCGCGGAACUGCACGGCAAACUACUUGGCUUGAGGUCGGUAGAGGUGCCUGGAACUCUAGGUGGAGCGGUGAAAUGCGUAGAUAUCUAGAGGAACGCCAGAAGCGAAAGCGGGGCACUGGGCCGAUUCUGACGCUGAGACGCAAAAGCGUGGGGAGCAAACA
rnacentral:rRNA from 1 species